AACGAACGCUGGCGGCGCGUCUUAAGCAUGCAAGUCGAACGGCAAGAUUGGUGCUUGCACCGAUCCUAGAGUGGCGGACUGGUGAGUAACGCGUGGGUGACGUACCCUAAGGAUGGGGAUAGCUGGUAGAAAUAUCAGAUAAUACCGAAUAUCCUUAUUGUUGUUAGAGGACAGUAAGGAAAGGAGCUUUGGCUUCGCCUAAGGAUCGGCCCGCGUACUAUUAGCUAGUUGGUGAGGUAACGGCUCACCAAGGCGACGAUAGUUAUCCGGCCUAAGAGGGUGAACGGACACAUUGGGACUGAGAUACGGCCCAGACUCCUACGGGAGGCAGCAGCUAAGAAUAUUCCGCAAUGGAGGAAACUCUGACGGAGCGACGCCGCGUGGAUGAUGAAGGCCGGAAGGUUGUAAAAUCCUUUUAAGCAAGAAGAAUAAACUUUACAGGGAAUGGUAGAGUGGUGACGGUAUUGCUUGAAUAAGCAACGGCUAAUUACGUGCCAGCCGCCGCCUAACAC
rnacentral:rRNA from 1 species